UAGGGAAUCUUCGGCAAUGGACGAAAGUCUGACCGAGCAACGCCGCGUGAGUGAAGAAGGUUUUCGGAUCGUAAAACUCUGUUGUUAGAGAAGAACAACGACGUUAGUAACUGAACGUCCCCUGACGGUAUCUAACCAGAAAGCCACGGCUAACUACGUGCCAGCAGCCGCGGUAAUACGUAGGUGGCAAGCGUUGUCCGGAUUUAUUGGGCAUAAAGCGAGCGCAGGCGGUUUCUUAAGUCUGAUGUGAAAGCCCCCGGCUCAACCGGGGAGGGUCAUUGGAUACUGGGAGACUUGGGUGCAGAAGAGGAGAGUGGAAUUCCAUGUGUAGCGGUGAAAUGCGUGGAUAUAUGGAGGAACACCAGUGGCGAAGGCGGCUCUCUGGUCUGUAACUGACGCUGAGGCACGGAAGCGUGGGGAGCAAACAGG
rnacentral:rRNA from 1 species